AUUGAACGCUGGCGGCAGGCCUAACACAUGCAAGUCGAGCGGUAGAGAGGUGCUUGCAUCUCUUGAGAGCGGCGGACGGGUGAGUAAUGCCUAGGAAUCUGCCUAGUGGUGGGGGAUAACGUUCGGAAACGGACGCUAAUACCGCAUACGUCCUACGGGAGAAAGCGGGGGAUCUUCGGACCUCGCGCCAUUAGAUGAGCCUAGGUCGGAUUAGCUAGUUGGUGAGGUAAUGGCUCACCAAGGCGACGAUCCGUAACUGGUCUGAGAGGAUGAUCAGUCACACUGGAACUGAGACACGGUCCAGACUCCUACGGGAGGCAGCAGUGGGGAAUAUUGGACAAUGGGCGAAAGCCUGAUCCAGCCAUGCCGCGUGNGUGAAGAAGGUCUUCGGAUUGUAAAGCACUUUAAGUUGGGAGGAAGGGUAGUAACCUAAUACGUUGCUACUUUGACGUUACCGACAGAAUAAG
rnacentral:rRNA from 1 species